UACGUAGGGGGCGAGCGUUGUCCGGAUUUAUUGGGCGUAAAGAGCGUGUAGGCGGCCAGGUAGGUCCGUUGUGAAAACUCGAGGCUCAACCUCGAGACGUCGGCGGAAACCCUCUGGCUAGAGUCCGGGAGAGGAGAGUGGAAUUCCUGGUGUAGCGGUGAAAUGCGCAGAUAUCAGGAAGAACACCCGUGGCGAAGGCGGCUCUCUGGGACGGUACUGACGCUGAGACGCGAAAGCGUGGGGAGCAAACAGG
rnacentral:rRNA from 1 species